AGUGAACGCUGGCGGUAGGCCUAACACAUGCAAGUCGAACGGCAGCACAGUAAGAGCUUGCUCUUACGGGUGGCGAGUGGCGGACGGGUGAGGAAUACAUCGGAAUCUACUUUUUCGUGGGGGAUCACGUAGGGAAACUUACGCUAAUACCGCAUACGACCUACGGGUGAAAGCAGGGGAUCUUCGGACCUUGCGCGAUUGAAUGAGCCGAUGUCGGAUUAGCUAGUUGGCGGGGUAAAGGCCCACCAAGGCGACGAUCCGUAGCUGGUCUGAGAGGAUGAUCAGCCACACUGGAACUGAGACACGGUCCAGACUACUACGGGAGGCAGCAGUGGGGAAUAUUGGACAAUGGGCGCAAGCCUGAUCCAGCCAUACCGCGUGGGUGAAGAAGGCCUUCGGGUUGUAAAGCCCUUUUGUUGGGAAAGAAAAGCAGCAGGUUAAUACCCCGCUGUUCUGACGGUACCCAAAGAAUAAGCACCGGCUAACUUCGUG
rnacentral:rRNA from 1 species